rnacentral:tRNA from 1 species
AACCUUAUAGUCAAGGAUUUUGAUGUCAGACUGCAAUUCUGAAGGCGUAGUAACCCUACUAAGGUUU